rnacentral:rRNA from 1 species
UUAUCCGGAUUUAUUGGGUUUAAAGGGAGCGUAGGCGGGUGCUUAAGUCAGUUGUGAAAGUUUGCGGCUCAACCGUAAAAUUGCAGUUGAUACUGGGCGCCUUGAGUGCAGCAUAGGUAGGCGGAAUUCGUGGUGUAGCGGUGAAAUGCUUAGAUAUCACGAAGAACUCCGAUUGCGAAGGCAGCUUACUGGACUGUAACUGACGCUGAUGCUCGAAAGUGUGGGUAUCAAACAGGAUUAGAUACCCUGGUAGUCCACACAGUAAACGAUGAAUACUCGCUGUUGGCGAUACACAGUCAGCGGCCAAGCGAAAGCAUUAAGUAUUCCACCUGGGGAGUACGCCGGCAACGGUGAAACUCAAAGGAAUUGACGGGGGCCCGCACAAGCGGAGGAACAUGUGGUU